CCAAAUUCCCUUACAUUUUCCUAUGCCCAAUUCUUUCCUCCAAAUCCCUGCAGGCUGCAGCCCAUUCCAAUACAAUUCCCAGGCCACUAUUUUCCAACUGCACACCUUAUCCCUCGAGAGAAUUUUGAAUUCAAAUUCAUCCCAAAAUCCAUUCCCUAGAAAUCUCCUAUAAAUACUUAUCUUUUCCAUUCAUUGGUGGGAGGGAGGGGGUUAGAGAAAAAUUUUGGGGAAGAAAAUAGAGGUCGAAAGAAAAGGUUUGACCAACAAGAAUAUACAUAGAGAGCAUACAAAUAUAUACGAAUAUGGAGUGGUGAUGCAGAAGGACACACUAGAUAUAGAAGCCAAAAUUAAUUUGAACAAGGGAAGAUCGAGUACUCAACCAUAUAUUCUUAAGUCUAGAUUUUAGUCUCUUCCAUUCUUCACUGGAAUCGGUUCAAGGGUGGUGGUGGAAUCCUGUUCAAGCUUCGUUCGUCCCGGGAUGCUGCUCCAAAGAAGAGGGCAUCAACAAGGUGGGCGGGGAGGUAAUCAAUGAGGCUGUGGAGGUAGAAUAAAUGGUAAUGCAGGCAUGGAAGUGGUUCAUCAAGAUGAUACGGCUUAAUGUUAUGCUUUUGCGGCAAGAAUGAGGUAGAUGUGUCUGAUGCAGUGAUCUCAUGUACUGUUCUUACUUAUGACCGGAUGACUAAUGUGUUAUUUGACUAGGAUUUUACGUAUUCAUAUAUAUAUCCAUGCAAUUUGCCUCAUAAUUUGUUAUGAUU